AUUGAACGCUGGCUGCAUGCCUAACACAUGCAAGUCGAACGAGUGGCGGCCGGGUGAGUAAUGUCUUGGAAACUGCCUGAUGGAGGGGGAUAACUACUGGAAACGGUAGCUAAUACCUCAUACCAUCAGAUGUUCCCCGAUGGGAUUAGCGAGUAGGUGGGGUAAUGGCUCACCUAGGCGACGAUCCCUCGCUGGUCUGAGAGGAUGGCAAGAGACAGUGGAAGUGAGACACGGUCCAGACUACGACGGUAGGGAGCAGUGGGGAAUAGUGCACAAUGGGAGGAAGCAUGAGGCAGCCAGGCCGCGAGUGUGAAGAAGGCCUUCGGGGUGUAAAGAACUUUCAGCGAGUAGGCGUUACUCGCAUAAGAAGCACCGGCUAACUCCGUGCCAGCAGCCGCGGGAAUGC
rnacentral:rRNA from 1 species